rnacentral:rRNA from 1 species
AAUCAACGCUGGCGGCGUGCCUCAGACAUGCAAGUCGAACGAUUAAAGCUCUCUUCGGAGAGUGCAUAGAGUGGCGCACGGGUGAGUAACACGUAAGUAAUCUGCCUUUGAGUGGGGAAUAACAGUCGGAAACGAUUGCUAAUACCGCAUAACGCAGCGGCACCGCAAGGUGACAGUUGUUAAAGGAGCAAUCCGCUUAAAGAGGAGCUUGCGGCAGAUUAGCUUGUUGGUAAGGUAACGGCUUACCAAGGCUACGAUCUGUAUCCGGUCUAAGAGGACGGUCGGACACACUGACACUGAAUAACGGGUCAGACUCCUACGGGAGGCAGCAGUCGGGAAUUUUGGGCAAUGGGGGAAACCCUGACCCAGCAACGCCGCGUGAAGGAUGAAGUAUUUCGGUAUGUAAACUUCGAAAGAAUAGGAAGAAUAAAUGACGGUACUAUUUAUAAGCUCCGCUAACUACGUGCCAGCAGCCGCGGUAAC